CCCUUAGAUGUCCUGGGCCGCACGCGCGUUACACUGAUGCAUUCAACGAGCUUAUAACCUUGGCCGAGAGGCCUGGGCAAUCUUGUUAACGUGCAUCGUGAUAGGGAUAGAUUAUUGAAAUUAUUAAUCUUGAACGAGGAAUUCCUAGUAAGCGCAGAUCAUCAAUCUGCAUUGAUUACGUCCCUGCCCUUUGUACACACCGCCCGUCGCACCUACCGAUUGGAUGGUCCGGUGAAGCCUCGGGAUUGUGGUUCUUGCCGCUUUAUUGUAGCGUGACCGCGAGAACUUGUCUAAACCUUAUCAUCUAGAGGAAGGUGAAGUCGUAACA
rnacentral:rRNA from 1 species